rnacentral:rRNA from 1 species
UACGUAGGGUGCAGGCGUUACUCGGAAUUACUGGGCGUAAAGCGUGCGCAGGCGGUCUUUUAAGUCAGAUGUGAAAUCCCCGGGCUUAACCUGGGAACUGCGUUUGAAACUGGAAGGCUAGAGUGUGGCAGAGGGGGGUGGAAUUCCACGUGUAGCAGUGAAAUGCGUAGAUAUGUGGAGGAACACCGAUGGCGAAGGCAGCCCCCUGGGCUAACACUGACGCUCAUGCACGAAAGCGUGGGGAGCAAACAGG